UUUAUUUCAUAACCAUUGAAACGCACCAUCAGGAAAGGAAAUUAGAAUAAAACCGUUAUUAACAUCUCCAUCAAAUAACCAAGAGGUUACAUUCAGAAGGAGGUAGCCCUCAUAGAUGGGACCAGCACGUGCAGGACCAGCACGUUUCUGCCAAUACAACAAUGGUGCUAAACAGACUGUCGGCAAUUAUCCUUCAAUUCUCUCGUUACAGACAGUGCUUCACGUGAUUAUUGGCAGGCAGCGGGAGAGUGGAUGGAGAUUUUGAUUGAGUGGCUAUUAUGUGUGUCUUGUCGGUAGUGCUGGGAGUAGCUCGCGUGUGUACGGUGCAUCACUGAGAGCUCUGUGGGGAUGAAAGCACGUGACAGUGACAGCGUAUUUUAUUCGAUGUAAAAGAAAGGAAAGAUAGUUCAGUACCGUACACCGGAUCUUUGCUGAUAUAUCGAAAGCGGGUUGGCCGUAGCUCAACGCGCGCUUUGCCAUCUGAACUGCUGAAUAGAAAGAAUCGAAUAUCUUAUUUUUAUCUAGUCUAUUGCCGAUAUUCUUAAGUAAUUGUCUGCAAAUGUUGAUGUGUUGAAAAAAAAAACAAGGUACCUCCCCUUACUGAUUUUACCUGCCGAUAAGCAUCAGCACCGUAGUGGCCGGACCUCGGGAACGCUCCGCUCCGGCUACAUCAGUAGAGGCACCGCUUUAUACGGAUUGACAAGACCUUCUCAAAGACCAGAAGUGUAUGGAAACAAGAUGGAAGGACUCCUGGCAUCUCUGACAGAGUAGAACCUUCCCUGUUACACUACCUACCUACCACCCACACAGGAGCACUGUCUGAGG